rnacentral:ncRNA from 1 species
AGAUUUACCUGCCCCUGCCUCCACAAAUAGAGUUAAGGGAGUGUACCACCAUACCCAAUUUGACUUCCUUUCCUUUAACUACUCUCAUUUUUUUUUCACUGACUGAGUAAGGGAGUGGGUAGAGCAAGCCUGAGAGGCUUGAGAGCUUCAGGUGCCACGUGCCUAUCUAUGCAGGUGAACCUGUGGAUCAGCAAGACCCACUCUGAGUACAGUCCCAGGUGGGGAGAUUGACUGGGACAGUAAACCUAUUAACCUUUAAUGUAGGUGUCCUUAGGUGAGCUCAGGGAGGACAGAAAUCUUCUGUGGAAGAGAAGAACAAUAGCUCACUUGAUCUUGAUUUUCAAUAGGAACACAAACCAUGAAAGCAGGGCCUCAGGAUCCUUCUGACUAUUUGGGUUUAAAGCAGGUGUCAGAAAAAUUAC